rnacentral:lncRNA from 1 species
UGGUACCACCUUCUCUGCCUAGCGGUUGUUUCUUUCUUUGGAGCUAAAGUAAUCCUAUCUGCGUGAGCAACGGCCCAUUUGCUAAAAUCUGGGGAAGAAACAAGCUCUUCCAUAGCCUUCUUUGUGGUGUCUCUAGUUAACUUAUUCCACUCAUCUUUUGAAAGUUUCUUCCGUUCAGGAGUGUUGUGGAAUGUAGAAUAGAAUGUAUCUGUUUCUGAUAACAUGCUU